AAGGAGAAAAGUUUGCCACACAGAGGAUCGGGGAGCAACAAUGAGGAAGGAAAGAAGAGACAGAAGGAAUGCCUGCCUUUAAGGCACUAGUUUCUACACACACAGCCUGCCUCAGAUAUAAUGAAACAGCAGCAAGUUUUUCAGUGAAACUUACCAGUACUGGAGGCCUGCGGUCCUAAAUGCCACAAUGACUAUUAAACAGUGUCCUGCCCAUGAGCAAACAGGAGGGAGGAGAGAUUGAUCGUGCAUCUUUUUCAUCUAAGCUGCUCACCAAAAACAAAGCAUCUGUUGAAGCCACUGACCUUUCACUAACUGCUGGAAGGAAAAUGCUUGAUAAAUAAUAAAUAGACCACUAUUGGAUGUUGCUUAGAACCAUCUUUUAAUUAAAAGAACUGAGCAACCAGAAGGUCAGGUGACUGACAUUUAAGUUCCAGUCCAGGAAGAGCAUCAAUCGAGGGGAAAAUUGUACCCUAAAUGUAAUUUCAUUGUUAGCUCGCAUUCAACAGAAGUCCCCUCUCUGUAAUCUGUUCAGAUGGGGGGCGGUGCUGGUGACGCUUGGUAGGGGACAAAACACUUCACUUCCUGCCUCCUUCGCCUUCCCCUGGCAACCUUUUCGUUUCUGUGCUGCAGC
rnacentral:lncRNA from 1 species